GAUCAAGUUACUAAGCGCAGAAGGUGGAUGCCUUGGCAGUCGAAGGCGAAGAAAGACGUGGAAGCCUGCGAAAAGCUUCGGGGAGCUGGCAAACAAGCUUUGAUCCGGAGAUAUCUGAAUGGGGAAACCCGGCUUAUUUUAUAUAGGUCAUUGUUAACUGAAUACAUAGGUUAACAAAGCGAACCGAGGGAACUGAAACAUCUAAGUACCUCGAGGAAAAGAAAUCAAAUGAGAUUCUGCAAGUAGCGGCGAGCGAACGUGGAAAAGCCUUCACGAGCUAGUCAAUGAGUUAGCCAAAAGGACUGGAAAGUCCUGCCAUAGAGGGUGAAAGCCCCGUCGGCAAAAACUUAUUGGUGAGACUAAGCGUGAAACCAAGUAGGGCGGGACACGAGAAAUCCUGUUUGAAGAUGGGGGGACCAUCCUCCAAGGCUAAAUACUCUCGACUGACCGAUAGUGAACCAGUACCGUGAGGGAAAGGCGAAAAGAACCCCGGCGAGGGGAGUGAAAUAGAACCUGAAACCGUCUGCGUACAAGCAGUAGGAGUCCCGCACUUAAAUCAUUUUGAGAAAGAUAAUGCAUUAUGUAUAGUUAUUGCAAAAUCUAGCGGAUAAAGAAAGUUUAAAGUGAUUUAAGUGCGGGAUGACUGCGUACCUUUUGUAUAAUGGGUCAGCGAGUGACUUUUAGUGGCAAGCUUAACCGAAUAGGGAAGGCGAAGGGAAACCGAGUCUGAAAAAGGCGUUGAGUCGCUAGGAGUCGACCCGAAACCGAGCGAGCUAGCCAUGUCCAGGGUGAAGCUUGGGUAACACUAAGUGGAGGCCCGAACCCACAUCUGUUGCAAAAGAUGGGGAUGAGGUGUGGCUAGGAGUGAAAGGCUAAACAAGCUCGGAGAUAGCUGGUUCUCCUCGAAAGCUAUUGAGGUAGCGCCUCGUGUUAACGACUAGGGGGUAGAGCACUGUUUCGGUAAGGGGGUCAUCCCGACUUACUGAGCCGAUGCAAACUUCGAAUACCUAGUUCGUGAUGCACGGGAGACACACGGCGGGUGCUAACGUCCGUCGUGAAAAGGGAAACAACCCAGAUCACCUGCUAAAGUCCCAAAAGUUAGGUUAAGUGUGAAACGUAGUGGAAAGGUUUAAACAGCCAGGAGGUUGGCUUAGAAGCAGCCAUCCUUUAAAGAAAGCGUAAUAGCUCACUGGUCGAAUCGGUCUGCGCGGAAGAAUGAACGGGGCUCAAACCUAAUACUGAAGCAGUGAAUGCGAUAGAUUGAAAGAUUUAUUGCGUGGUAGAGGAGCGUUCGGUAAGCCGUUGAAGGUGACCUGUAAAGGUUGCUGGAGGUAUCCGAAGUGCGAAUGCUGACAUGAGUAACGAUAAUGCGGGUGAAAACCCCGCACGCCGAAAGUCCCAGGAUUCCUGCGCAACGGUAAUCGACGCAGGGUGAGUCGGCCCCUAAGGCGAGGCGGAAACGCGUAGUCGAUGGGAAACAGGUUAAAAUUCCUGUACUUCGACAGACUGUGAUGGGAGGACGAAGAAGGCUAAGUGAGCCGGAGACUGGUAGUUCCGGUUUAAGCGAGUAGAGAGAGAUUCUAGGAAAAUCCGGAGUCUUGUUAAUCUCGAGACGUGAUGACGAGUUAUUAACCUCGGUUAAUGAUGAAGUGACUGAUGCCCUGCUUCCAGGAAAACUCUCUAAACUUCAGGUCUGUAGGAACCGUACCGCAAACCGACACAGGUGGACAGGUAGAGAAUACUAAGGCGAUGAGACAACUUGGGUGAAGGAACUAGGCAAAUUAGCACCGUAACUUCGGGAGAAGGUGCACCUUUUUUGGUGAGUGGGUAUACCCCACAAGCUGAGGGAGGUUGAAAUGAUCAGGUGGUUGCGACUGUUUAUCAAAAACACAGCACUCUGCGAACUCGAAAGAGGAAGUAUAGGGUGUGACGCCUGCCCGGUGCCGGAAGGUUAAUUGAAGCGGUUAACUUGCGCUGAGAUGGCUUUUGAAAACGAAUUAGAAAGAAUAAUAAUUCGAAAAUAAAAAUCAAAAGUCAUGUCAGCGCAGGUGAAGCUGUGGAUCGAAGCCCCGGUAAACGGCGGCCGUAACUAUAACGGUCCUAAGGUAGCGAAAUUCCUUGUCGGGUAAGUUCCGACCUGCACGAAUGGCGUAACGACAGCCACACUGUCUCCACCCAAGGCUCAGUGAAAUUGAAAUCGCUGUGAAGAUGCAGCGUACCCGCGGCAAGACGGAAAGACCCCGUGCACCUUUACUACAGCUUUACACUGGACUUUGAAUUUAACUGUGCAGAAUAGGUGGGAGGCAUUGAAUUGAGUUCGCUAGGACUCGAGGAGCCACCGGUGAGAUACCACCCUGUUAAAGUUAAAGUUCUAACCUAGGGCCCUGAACGGGUUUGGGGACAGUGUAUGGUGGGUAGUUUGACUGGGGCGGUCUCCUCCUAAAGAGUAACGGAGGAGCACGAAGGUACCCUCAGCGCGGUCGGACAUCGCGCAUAGCGUGUAAUGGCACAAGGGUGCUUGACUGCGAGACAAACACGUCGAGCAGGUGCGAAAGCAGGUCAUAGUGAUCCGGUGGUUCCGAAUGGAAGGGCCAUCGCUUAACGAAUAAAAGGUACGCCGGGGAUAACAGGCUGAUACCGCCCAAGAGUUCAUAUCGACGGCGGUGUUUGGCACCUCGAUGUCGGCUCAUCACAUCCUGGGGCUGAAGCAGGUCCCAAGGGUAUGGCUGUUCGCCAUUUAAAGUGGUACGCGAGCUGGGUUCAGAACGUCGUGAGACAGUUCGGUCCCUAUCUGCCGUGGGCGCUGGAGAUUUGAGAGGAGCUACGCCUAGUACGAGAGGACCGGCGUGGAGGUACCGCUGGUGGUCCGGUUGUUUCGCCAGAAGCAUAGCCGGGUAGCUACGUACCGACGGGAUAACCGCUGAAAGCAUCUAAGCGGGAAGCCCCCCUCAAGAUGAGAUCUCCCGAGGAUUAAAUCCUCCUAAAGGUCCGUUGAAGACGACGACGUAGAUAGGUGGGGUGUGUAAGUGCAGUAAUGUAUUGAGCUAACCCAUACUAAUUGACCGUGAGGCUUGAUU
rnacentral:rRNA from 2 species